rnacentral:rRNA from 1 species
GUGACCUGCGGAGGACAUUAUUG